rnacentral:rRNA from 1 species
GAUGAACGCUAGCUACAGGCUUAACACAUGCAAGUCGAGGGGUAACGAGAGGAAAGCUUGCUUUCCUUGUUGACGACCGGCGCACGGGUGAGUAACGCGUAUCCAACCUGCCCCCAACUAGGGAAUAACCUUGCGAAAGUAAGACUAAUACCCUAUAAUUUCCUCAGAUGUCAUCUGACGAGGAAUAAAGAUUUAUCGGUUGUGGAUGGGGAUGCGUCUGAUUAGCUUGUUGGCGGGGUAACGGCCCACCAAGGCAACGAUCAGUAGGGGUUUCGGGAGGAAAGUACCCCACAUUGGAACUGAGACACGGUCCAAACUCAUACGUGAGGCAGCAGUGAGGAAUAUUGGUCAAUGGGCGGAAGCCUGAACCAGCCAAGUAGCGUGCAGGAUGACGGCCCUAUGGGUUGUAAACUGCUUUUAUACAGGAAUAAAGUUAGCCACGUGUGGUUAUUUGUAGGUACUGUAUGAAUAAGGACCGGCUAAUUCCGUGCCAGCCGCCGCCGUAA